UCCGCGCUACAAGCCCUCCCUCCCCGCCCGGCGCAUAGAGGCCUGACGGGCAACUUGGGGGUUCCCCUAAGAUGCCUCCUGCCCUAGGCCCAUUUGUUCCGUCUCCUGACUCAGCAACUGUUCCACCACCCGAGGCCAAGUGGCUGUUCUUAAGCUUGAAGACCAGAGACAAGUGGACAUGAUUCCCCAAAUGGGCAGCAGGUUAAAAUCAGAAUGAGUUCAGCCACAAGAAACAUUGGUGGAGAGAGAAGAGUUUUAGAAAAAUUCUGGGACUUGAGGAAAAGAGAUGACAGAGAAAGACCUCCAUAGAGAAUGAGAGCAUCAGUCAACCACAAAGCACAAGGCACAGAGGCUGUCCUCAAAAGAACGAUGGAGUCCAUGAAGGGAAUCCCUGUGGCUUCAAAAGGGUGAUAUCUGACACUGCACACACACUGAGGAAAGGACAUGUGAGCACACAGCAAGAAGACCAUU